ACACCAAUGGUGAAGCGGUUAUCAUGCUUGCCUUCCAGUUUAGGAUUACGUAAGGCUUCUAGCGUAAGCCGGUAAGCAAGCGGCAGGGGUUCGACUCCCCUUUGGUGUA